UGAGAUUAAGCAACAGAAAAAGGAAACUGUGUCAAUAAACUGGGUAUGGCCUGAAAACUAUAAUCACGGAACAGAACCAUUGAAUUGUUGGCAGGCCGCGUUGCUCGUGUAACGAGCAGUCCACGCCAAAAGGCACAGUGCUGCUCUGAAGGCUGUGCAUGCCAGUGUCGAAACUACGGCUGCUUUGGGGUGCUGUAAGAGGAGAUAAUGAAGCCUUUUGAAACGCUUUUUAACAAGUAGAGUAGUGCCUAUUUACUGAAGAGACCACAUCAAGAAUAGAAGAGUCACCCAGCAUGCUGAAGACACCAAGGCAGUGAGGAAGUGAAGCCCAGAGCAGGAGAGCUGGAUAGAGAUGGGAUUCAGCCGCUCUAUGAGGAAGUAACUUGGGGAAGCGACAACUUUGUCUGUUUUUCUGCCAGGAAGGCAGAGGAGGAGACUGCUCUGCACAGUCUGAAUGGGAUCACAAUUACUGACGGAAGACUGACAUAAUGACUGCAGGUCUUUGUACAGUAUCGCUUUUUCCUUGCUACAUCCAAAAUCAGUUUCAGAAACAUCACAUGCUAAGUAACUCGCUAAAUAGCAGCAAUAGUUAUACUGGGAAAAGAUGAGCACCAUUCAAGAUCUGCAGUAUUGGAUCCUUUCUGCACUCUGUGUUUCCACUAAAUUCAGCUUAGGUCAUUCUGACUUAAACCUGUUCAAUUACAGUAAAAGCAAGUCAAUUUCUGACACCUAAAUUAUCUUAACACAUUGAAACCAAUAGAAAUGGUGACAAGACCUCAUGAAACUGGACUCACACACAAAAAAAAAAGCUAUGUAUUAUAGUUCUGUUAGACUAGAAGUUGAUGCAAGGAUUGAGUCCCCAGUAACCAUCACCACCACAUUGACCUAAAAAAAACCUUAAAACCUUGGUCACCUUUCUGAUAUAAAAAAAAAAAAAAAAAUAUUUCCUGCUAGUCAGUUAGCUUACAAUUUCUUUUUGUAUGAAACACAUGUUGAUAUUUGAUUACUCCCUAUAAUAGUGUCCAUCUGUGGAAAGGGCUGCAGUGCUAAUACACAUGCAUGAAAGCAGUAAUCUUAUUUUCAAUACCAAGGAUUGUUUUAUCUGUUUCAUCUUUAAUAUUUCACUGCUGAGAACAGGUUGUGCAUAUGGUUUUGUGGCAGCCUGUUUGCAGUCAUUUCAUCGUGCACACCUCCCUUUUUGCACCUUCCCGUUCCACCUGAGCUGAUUCUUUAUACAGUGCAGCCACGUUAGUUUUUAUGUAGUGUUCAUCAUCUGGCCCAAGCCUAAACCUCCUCAUGGGCCGGAUAUUAAAUCAUAAACAGCUCAGGACAGGUUCUGGUAAUGAAAGUUGAAUAUUCCAUCAACUAGGACAAGAAAAAAAAAGUCUAUCUUGCCUAAACUUGGAUGUGCCUCACUUGAGCAAUGACUGCAUGUGUAUCAGAGCUAUGGUGAAGCUGGAAACUUUGUACCCUAGAGACAGUUACCAAAUCUGCCUUGUGAGACACGUCUCAGGUAAUACACAACAAAAAGAGUUGGCUUCAUGUAUAAAAUGCGUUUAAUUUAUCUUGUUACCUGCUCUGCUGUUCUUGGAAGAGCCCAGCUUGUCCCUGCCUGGUUCAGAGCUUCGACUGGGCAUGGAAGUCCCUGGUGCCAAGAGCUCACACAGGUAGCUGAGGAUAAGCAAGCCCCACAGCACCUCUUUGUUCCACCUUGCAUAAAGGGAAACAAGGCCCCCUGCUUGCCUCCCACUUCGCCCAGAGGAAAGCAGCCACAAUGCACUUCAUUUCCUAGUGCUUCCCAUGGGAUGGCAGAGAGCUAAGAGGCCUGGUGCAUGACAGAGGCUGCUCUGAGCAGCACAGUGGCCAUGAGGACAGCUCUCACAGUCCCAGGCCUCCUCCCCAGGGCCCACCAAGAAGGUCACAAGAACAACCUGUGGUGCAGAGCUCCCUCAUGCCCCACAGAUUCAUGCCAGGCCCACACACAGUACUCUCACCACACCACAGAUCCCCCCCUCCCAUAGGGCAAUAUUUCAAGACCGUGUGCAUCUCUGGUUUUAAUGUGAGGAAGUACAGUUACAUCUAUGAGGUACAGAUAAAUACAAGAACAGUAACACAUUAUGUUACUGGGGUAUCUAUUUUAAAAGGUAGCCACUGCAUCAACUUUCAAAAACUGAUCUUUCCUGACAGAUAAUUGCUUUUUUCUCUAUAGAUAGCUAGCAGCAAGAUAUAAAUUCAGAACAGUGACUGGAAUAAAGAUCUCAUUUCAAAUA